rnacentral:tRNA from 1 species
GGGGGAUUAGCUCAGCUGGGAGAGCGUCGGCUUUGCAAGCCGAAAGUCACCGGUUCGAUCCCGGUAUCCUCCA